GACAGAGGGUGCAAACGUUGUUCGGAAUUACUGGGCGUAAAGCGUGUGUAGGCGGCUACGCAAGUCGGAUGUGAAAGCCCCGGGCUCAACUCGGGAAGUGCACCCGAUACUGCGUGGCUCGAGUACCGGAGAGGUUGGUGGAAUUCUCGGUGUAGAGGUGAAAUGCGCAGAUAUCAGGAAGAACACCCGUGGCUAAGGCGGCUCUCUAGUACGGUACUGACGCUGAGACGCGAAAGCGUGGGGAGCGAACAGG
rnacentral:rRNA from 1 species